rnacentral:rRNA from 1 species
AUUGAACGCUGGCGGCAUGCCUUACACAUGCAAGUCGAACGGCAGCACGGGAGCAAUCCUGGUGGCGAGUGGCGAACGGGUGAGUAAUAUAUCGNNNCGUGCCCAGUCGUGGGGGAUAACGUAGAGAAAUUUACGCUAAUACCGCAUACGAUCUAAGGAUGAAAGCGGGGGACUCGCAAGAGCCUCGCGCGAUUGGAGCGGCUGAUAUCAGAUUAGGUUGUUGGUGAGGUAAAAGCUCACCAAGCCGACGAUCUGUAGCUGGUUUGAGAGAACGACCAGCCACACUGGGACUGAGACACGGCCCAGACUCCUACGGGAGGCAGCAGUGGGGAAUUUUGGACAAUGGGCGAAAGCCCGAUCCAGCAAUGCCGCGUGCAGGAAGAAGGCCUUCGGGUUGUAAACUGCUUUUGUACGGAACGAAACGGUCCUUUCUAAUAAAGAGGGCUAAUGACGGUACCGUAAG